rnacentral:rRNA from 1 species
AUUGAACGCUGGCGGCAUGCCUUACGCAUGCAAGUCGAACGGCAGCACGGGGCAACCUGGUGGCGAGUGGCGAACGGGUGAGUAAUGCAUCGGAACGUACCUUUCGGUGGGGGAUAACGUAGCGAAAGUUACGCUAAUACCGCAUAUUCUGUGAGCAGGAAAGCAGGGGAUCGCAAGACCUUGCGCUGAUUGAGCGGCCGAUGUCAGAUUAGCUAGUCGGUGAGGUAAAGGCUCACCAAGGCGACGAUCUGUAGCGGGUCUGAGAGGAUGAUCCGCCACACUGGAACUGAGACACGGUCCAGACUCCUACGGGAGGCAGCAGUGGGGAAUUUUGGACAAUGGGGGCAACCCUGAUCCAGCCAUGCCGCGUGAGUGAAGAAGGCCUUCGGGUUGUAAAGCUCUUUCGGCCGGGAAGAAAUCGCACGGGCUAAUACCCUGUGUGGAUGACGGUACCGGAAUAAGAAGCACCGGCUAACUACGUGCCAGCCGCCGCCGUAACAC